rfam:Thermocrinis minervae strain DSM 19557 genome assembly, chromosome: I
GGAGAGGUGGCCGAGUGGCCGAAGGCGGCUGCUUGCUAAGCAGUUGUAGGGUUAACAGCCCUACCGCGGGUUCGAAUCCCGCCCUCUCCG